rnacentral:lncRNA from 1 species
CAGAAAACCCACACAGAGGUCAAACACAGUUCUCGUGGAGUCACCUUGUCAUCCUGCUUUGUUUUGGAAGGAACUGGGUCGGAAGCAGCACAGUAGGACUACAGCAUCUUUAACCCUUCCACUUUGCUGUUCCUGUUGGCCUUUGAAGCUGCCCACACGCCUGUCUCAAAGCCUGUGCACUUGGCCGCUCCCUCUGUCUGCAGUGCCGUACCCUCCGCCUGU